GACGAAGGUGGCGAGCGUUGUUCGGAAUCACUGGGCAUAAAGCGCACGUAGGCGGCGACGUAAGUUGGGUGUGAAAUCCCUCGGCCCAACCGAGGAACUGCGCCCAGUACUGCGUUGCUUGAGGAUCCAAGGGGUGCAUGGAAUUCCCGGUGGAGCGGUGAAAAUGCGUUGAUAUCGGGAGGAACUCCGGCGGCGAAAGCGGUGCACUGGUGGAUUUCUGACGCUGAGGUGCGAAAGCCAGGGGAGCAAACGGG
rnacentral:rRNA from 1 species